rnacentral:rRNA from 1 species
AUUGAACGCUGGCGGCAGGCUUAACACAUGCAAGUCGAGCGGGGAUAGGGUGCUUGCACCUGAUUCCUAGCGGCGGACGGGUGAGUAAUGCUUAGGAAUCUGCCUAUUAGUGGGGGACAACGUUCCGAAAGGGGCGCUAAUACCGCAUACGUCCUACGGGAGAAAGCAGGGGAUCUUCGGACCUUGCGCUAAUAGAUGAGCCUAAGUCGGAUUAGCUAGUUGGUGGGGUAAAGGCCUACCAAGGCGACGAUCUGUAGCGGGUCUGAGAGGAUGAUCCGCCACACUGGGACUGAGACACGGGCCCAGACUCCUACGGGAGGCAGCAGUGGGGAAUAUUGGACAAUGGGGGGAACCCUGAUCCAGCCAUGCCGCGUGUGUGAAGAAGGCCUUUUGGUUGUAAAGCACUUUAAGCGAGGAGGAGGCUUACCUGGUUAAUACCUGGGAUAAGUGGACGUUACUCGCAGAAUAAGCACCGGCUAACUCUGUGCCAGCGCCGC